rnacentral:rRNA from 1 species
GACGAACGCUGGCGGCGCGCUUAACACAUGCAAGUCGAACGGAAAGGCCCUGCUUUUGUGGGGUGCUCGAGUGGCGAACGGGUGAGUAACACGUGAGUAACCUGCCCUUGACUUUGGGAUAACUUCAGGAAACUGGGGCUAAUACCGGAUAGGAGCUCCUGCUGCAUGGUGGGGGUUGGAAAGUUUCGGCGGUUGGGGAUGGACUCGCGGCUUAUCAGCUUGUUGGUGGGGUAGUGGCUUACCAAGGCUUUGACGGGUAGCCGGCCUGAGAGGGUGACCGGCCACAUUGGGACUGAGGUACGGCCCAGACUCCUACGGGAGGCAGCAGUGGGGAAUAUUGCACAAUGGGCGGAAGCCUGAUGCAGCAACGCCGCGUGCGGGAUGACGGCCUUCGGGGUGUAAACCGCUUUCGCCUGUGACGAAGCGUGAGUGACGGUAAUGGGUAAAGAAGCACCGGCUAACUACGUG